rnacentral:rRNA from 1 species
CCUACGGGUGGCAGCAGUGGGGGAUAUUGCACAAUGGGGGAAACCCUGAUGCAGCGACGCCGCGUGGGCGAAGAAGUAUUUCUGUAUGUUAAGCCCUAUUUGUAGGGAAGACGAAUUUACGGUACCUGCGCCCUCAGCACUGGCCAAAUAAGUGCCAUCAGCCACCGGCAUACGUAUGGUGCAAGCGUUCUCCGGAUUUACUGGGUGGACAGGGAGCGUAGGUGGAACGGUAAGCCUGUUGGGAAAGGCGGGGGCCCAACCGAGGGACGGCAGUGGAAACGGCCAGGCUGGAGUGCAGGAGAGGUAGGCGGAAUUCCUAGUGUAGCGGUGAAAUGCGUAGAUAUUAGGAGGAACACCAGUGGCGAAGGCGGCCUACUGGACGGUGACUGACGCUGAGGCUCGAAAGCGUGGGGAGCAAACAGGAUUAGAUACCCGGGUAGUC